AGUCGAGCGGUAGCACAGAGAGCUUGCUCUUGGGUGACGAGCGGCGGACGGGUGAGUAACGCGUAGAAAUCUACCCGGUAGUUGGGGAUAGCCCGGAGAAAUCCGGAUUAAUACCGAAUAAUCUCUGAGGAGGAAAGUGGGGGACCUUUCGGGGCCUCACGCUAUUGGAUGAGUCUGCGUCGGAUUAGCUAGUUGGUGGGGUAAAGGCCUACCAAGGCGACGAUCCGUAGCUGGUCUGAGAGGAUGAUCAGCCACACUGGGACUGAGACACGGCCCAGACUCCUACGGGAGGCAGCAGUGGGGAAUAUUGGACAAUGGGGGCAACCCUGAUCCAGCCAUGCCGCGUGUGUGAAGAAGGCUUUCGGGUUGUAAAGCACUUUCAGUGGUGAGGAAGGGUGUGUUGUUAAUAGCGACAUACAUUGACGUUAGCCACAGAAGAAGCACCGGCUAACUCCGUGCCAGCAGCCGCGGUAAUACGGAGGGUGCGAGCGUUAAUCGGAAUUACUGGGCGUAAAGCGCGCGUAGGCGGUGUGUUAAGUGAGAUGUGAAAUCCCCGGGCUCAACCUGGGAAUUGCCUCUUAUACUGGCACGCUAGAGUAUGGCAGAGGUGAGUAGAAUUCCCGGUGUAGCGGUGAAAUGCGUAGAGAUCGGGAGGAAUACCAGUGGCGAAGGCGGCUCACUGGGGCUAUACUGACGC
rnacentral:rRNA from 1 species